rnacentral:rRNA from 1 species
GUGGGGAAUAUUGCACAAUGGGCGAAAGCCUGAUGCAGCGACGCCGCGUGAGUGAAGAAGUAUCUCGGUAUGUAAAGCUCUAUCAGCAGGGAAGAAAAUGACGGUACCUGACUAAGAAGCCCCGGCUAACUACGUGCCAGCAGCCGCGGUAAUACGUAGGGGGCAAGCGUUAUCCGGAUUUACUGGGUGUAAAGGGAGCGCAGACGGCGAUGCAAGUCUGGAGUGAAAGCCCGGGGCUCAACCCCGGGACUGCUUUGGAAACUGUAUGGCUAGAGUGCUGGAGAGGCAAGCGGAAUUCCUAGUGUAGCGGUGAAAUGCGUAGAUAUUAGGAAGAACACCAGUGGCGAAGGCGGCUUGCUGGACAGUAACUGACGUUCAGGCUCGAAAGCGUGGGGAGCAAACAGGAUUAGAAACCCCGGUAGUCC